UACAGAGGGGGCAAGCGUUAUUCGGAAUUAUUGGGCGUAAAGGGCGCGUAGGCGGCCUGACAAGUGGAAGGUGAAAUCCCUCGGCUUAACCGAGGAACUGCCCUCCAAACUGUCUGGCUUGAGACCGGGAGAGGUGAGUGGAAUUCCCAGUGUAGCGGUGAAAUGCGUAGAUAUUGGGAGGAACACCAGUGGCGAAGGCGGCUCACUGGACCGGUACUGACGCUGAGGCGCGAAAGCGUGGGGAGCAAACGGG
rnacentral:rRNA from 1 species